rnacentral:tmRNA from 1 species
ACGGGGGUGAAUAAAGGUUGCAUGCCGAGGUCUCCGCAGGCCUCGUUAAACAGGCGGAAACAAUUUAAUUGCCGAUGAAGAAUUGGCUCUAGCCGCUUAAUAAAGUGGCUCGUCCGGCUAAUUUGCGGUCCCGUCGAGUUAGCCCGACGUCAACAAACGGGCUAUGCGCCUUACUUGUUCUCAAGGGGCAUGGCGCGAGAAUUAACUUGAGAUAGUCCGCUGUGAAUCCGGCAUAAGGGAGUCUUGUGGACGAAACACCAAAGCUUAUGCUAAGCAUGUAGUAGCCUUUAUUGAAAUGUUCUCGGACGCGGGUUCGAUCA